rnacentral:lncRNA from 1 species
AAAGCCCACGACACGUGGGGACCGGACGGCGAAUAAACGUGGCUGCUUUCUUUUAUUGUGGUCGAGAUAUUUAGUAGAAGAAGACGACGAUGGAAAGGAGGGGACGGUAACGGGGUGGGGUCAUUUGCCGGACGCCGCGGCUUUGGUCUUGGCGGCCUCGAGGUCGACGGCCUGCUGGAGGAGGUUGGAGCCUUGGUCGUCGUCCUCGAGCACGAUCUGGAGGGGGAAGUCGCCGAGACCGUCGGCGAUGGCGAGGAGGAUGCGGCGCAUCUCGGAGCGGAACUCGUCGCGGUCGACGGUGCCGCUGCGGUCCAGGUCGAACUGAUCGAAGAUGGAGUUGUAUAGGGCCGCGACCUCGGCCGGUGGGGUGACCACGUCGACCCCGAAGUGGGUCUCCAGGAGGCGGAAGGUCUCGAGGGCGCGCCGCAGCUCGGCGCGGGAGAGGACGCCGUCCCCGUUGAGGUCCAGCGCCGCGAACCGCUCGUCCACGCUCCGGUUGAAGACCUCCUCGUCCCCCACGAACGCCCGCACCGUCGACCCGUCCAAUAUCACUACCCCCA